GAGUUUGAUUCUGGCUCAGGAUGAACGCUGGCGGCAUGCCUAACACAUGCAAGUUGAACGAGAAGUUUUGGAGGGAGUAUUCGGACGAACGAAGGAAUGGAAAGUAGCGAACGGGUGAGUAACGCGUGGGCAACCAACCUUACACAGGAGGAUAACGCAGAGAAAUUUGCGCUAAUACCGCAUAAGCGCACAGUAUCACAUGAUACGGUGUGAAAAACUCCGGUGGUGUAAGACGGGCCCGCGUCUGAUUAGCUAGUUGGCAGGGUAAAAGCCUACCAAGGCGACGAUCAGUAGCCGACCUGAGAGGGUGAUCGGCCACAUUGGGACUGAGACACGGCCCAAACUCCUACGGGAGGCAGCAGUGGGGGAUAUUGCACAAUGGAGGAAACUCUGAUGCAGCAAUGCCGCGUGAAGGAAGACGGUUUUCGGAUUGUAAACUUCUAUCAGCAGGGAAGAAAAUGACGUACCUG
rnacentral:rRNA from 1 species